rnacentral:rRNA from 1 species
CCCCACUGCUAUCGGGAUGGGACUAAGACAUGCUAGUCGUGCGUCUCCAAGCCAUGGCGGAGACGCGGCGCACAGCUCAGUAACACGUGGCUAACCUGCCCUUAGGACAGGGACAACCCCGGGAAACUGGGGCUAAUCCCUGAUAGGUGAGGGUUCCUGGAAUGGGCCCUCGCCGAAAGGGCGCCUAGACCAUGCUUCUAGGUGCUGCCCAAGGAUGGAGCCGCGGCCGAUCAGGUUGUUGGUGAGGCAACGGCUCACCAAGCCUUUAACCGGUACGGGCCGUGAGAGCGGGAGCCCGGAGAUGGGUACUGAGACAAGGACCCAGGCCCUACGGGGCGCAGCAGUCGCGAAAACUCCGCAAUACGCGAAAGCGUGACGGGGCUAUCCCGAGUGCCGUCCGCUGAGGAUGGCUUUUCCCUAGUGUAUAAAGCUGGGGGAAUAAGGAGAGGGCAAGCCUGGUGUCAGCCGCCGCGGUAAUACCAGCUCUCCGAGUGGUGGGGAUGCUUAUUGGGCCUAAAGCAUUCGUAGCCGGUUGGGCAAGUCCUCCGUUAAAUCCAGCGAUUCAAUCGUUGGACUGCGGGGGAUACUGUCCGGCUUGGGGGCGGAAGAGGCCGACGGUAUUCUCGGGGUAGGGGUGAAAUCCUAUAAUCCCGGGAGGACCACCAGUGGCGAAGGCUGUCGGCUAGAACGCGCCCGACGGUGAGGGAUGAAAGCUGGGGGAGCGAACCGGAUUAGAUACCCGGGUAGUCCCAGCUGUAAACGAUGCAGGCUAGGUGUUGGCGCGGCUACGUGCCGCUCCAGUGCCGCAAGGAAGCCGUUAAGCCUGCCGCCUGGGAAGUACGGCCGCAAGGCUGAAACUUAAAGGAAUUGGCGGGGGAGCACCACAAGGGGUGAAGCUUGCGGUUU